rnacentral:tRNA from 1 species
CACGAGGUGGCAGCAGUGGUAGCUCGUCAGGCUCAUAACCUGAAGGUCGGGGGUUCGAAUCCCUCUCUCGUAA